CAGUGAUCACUUUAACGGCCGCGGUACCCUGACCGUGCAAAGGUAGCAUAAUCAUUUGCCUUUUAAUUGGAGGCUAGUAUGAAUGGUUCGACGAGAGUAAAACUGUCUCACACAUAUUCAACAGAAAUUAACCUAAAGGUGCAAAGGCCUUUAUACCUUAAAAAGACGAGAAGACCCUGUUGAGCUUUAAUCUUAAUGAGCAUCAUCUCUAUAUUUAUAAAUUUGUUUCUCUCACUAAAGAUUUUAAUUGGGGCGAUUAAGGAACAUCCACCAGCUUCCUGACUAUAGAUUAAAUCGAUCCAGUACUGCUGAUCAACAAAACGAGUUACCACAGGGAUAACAGCAUAAUUCUCCUUGAGAGCCCAUAUCGAAAGGAGAGAUUGUGACCUCGAUGUUGGACUAGGGUAACUAGAAGGUGUAGCCGCUUUCUUGUUUGGUCUGUUCGACCAGUAAUUCCCU
rnacentral:rRNA from 1 species